UACGUAGGGUGCGAGCGUUGUCCGGAAUUAUUGGGCGUAAAGAGCUCGUAGGCGGUCUGUCGCGUCUGCUGUGAAAACCCGAGGCUCAACCUCGGGCCUGCAGUGGGUACGGGCAGACUAGAGUGUGGUAGGGGAGACUGGAAUUCCUGGUGUAGCGGUGGAAUGCGCAGAUAUCAGGAGGAACACCGAUGGCGAAGGCAGGUCUCUGGGCCAUUACUGACACUGAGAAGCGAAAGCAUGGGGAGCGAACAGG
rnacentral:rRNA from 1 species